rnacentral:rRNA from 1 species
GAUAAAAAUAUUUUAUUGUUAGUUUAAAUUUAAUUUUAUAUUAAAAAAAGAAAUUAUUAUUUAAUUAAUUUUUAAGAAAAAAUUAUUGUUAAUUAUAGAUUAUAGUAUUGUGAAAGAAAAUAAUUAUUAAUAAGAAAGAAAAAUUUAAAUUUUGUACCUUGUGCAUCAGGGUUGAUUAAAAAAUAAUUAAAUAUUUAAUAUUCUCGAAUUUAAAAGAGCUAAUUAAUUAUAAAUUUUAUUGUAAAAUAAAUAUUUAAAAUAUUUAAUUAGAAAUGAAACGUUAUUCGUUUUUAAAUUUAUCUAGUUUUUAAAUAAAUAAAUUUAAUUUAAUUAUUUUAAGUUAAAAUAUUAAUUUUUUAAUAUUUUAUUUAAAAUAAUAAAUUUUUUUAGGGAUUAGCUUGAAAAAAAAUUAUUAUAAUAAUUUAAAAAUAAAAUAAAUUAUAGGAUUAUAAUUUUCUAUAAAUAAUAAAAUGUUAUAAUUAAUUAUUUUUUUAAUAUUAUUUUUAUUUUAUUUAAAUUUUUUAUUUAAAUAUAAAUUUAAAUUAUAAAUGUUUAGGAAUAAUGAUUAAAUUAGUAUAAAUUAAUGUAUUUUUAUAUUUUAAAUUUAAGGUUAAUUUAAGGAACUCGGCAAAUAAAUUUUUCACCUGUUUAUUAAAAACAUGUCCUUUUGAUUAUAAUUUAAGGUCUAAUCUGCCCACUGAGUUUUUAAAUGGCCGCGGUAUUUUGACCGUGCAAAGGUAGCAUAAUAAUUAGUUUCUUAAUUAGAAGCUGGAAUGAAAGAUUGAAUGAGAAAAUAACUGUCUCAAAUUAAAUUUUUUAGAAUUUUAUUUUUAAGUUAAAAAGCUUAAAUAUUUUUAAAAGACGAGAAGACCCUAUAGAGUUUUAUUUUAAUUAGUUUUAAAAAAAUAUAAAUUUUAAUAUUUUUUAUAAUUAAUUAAAAUUUUGUUGGGGAGAUAGAAAAAUUAAAUUAACUUUUUUUAUAUU